UCCCCGCGCCGCAAGUAGCAAUCGUAAUUAUUGGGUCUAAAGCGUCCGUAGCCGGUUUGUUAAGUCUUUUGUGAAAUUGUUGUGAUUCACAUAACACAGUGCAAAAGAUACUGGCAGACUAGGAACCGGGAGGGGCUAGAGGUAUUCUGAGGGGAGCGGUAAAAUGUUAUAAUCCUCGGAGGACCACCUGUGGCGAAGGCGUCUGGCUAGAACGGCUUCGACGGUGAGGGACGAAAGCUAGGGGAGCAAAUCG
rnacentral:rRNA from 1 species